rnacentral:misc_RNA from 1 species
GAGAAGAACGUAGCGAAAUGCGAUAAGUAAUGUGAAUUGCAGAAUUCAGUGAAUCAUCGAAUCUUUGAACGCACCUUGCACCCUUUGGCAUUCCGAAGGGUAUGCUCGUUUGAGUGUCAUUGUACUCUCACACUUCCAAUCUUUGGAUUGGGGGCGGUGGACUUGGGUGUUGCUGCUUACUGUGGCUCACCUCAAAUUGAUUCGUGCACCUCUUGGUUGGACAUAGUACGGCGUGAUAAGUGUCUUCGCCGGCACCUCAGUAGAGGGUGGCUGAUCGGGAGCUCUGUGCUUCAAACCGUCCUCGGACAACAACUGACAACUUGACCUCAAAUCGAGUAGGACUACCCGCUGAACUUAAGCAUAUCAAUAAGCGGAGGA